GUUUAUCUGCCGCCGGGUAGGUAAACAUCGCAUUUAUCUGCGUGUCGUAAGGCCUUAGAAGACGCGCUUGGUAAGUGCGUUUUUUAU
rnacentral:ncRNA from 1 species